GGUGGUAACAGUCAAGUUGUCAUCAUCUGGCUUAGGGCAUGAAUCAACACACAGUUCGCAAGUUGAUUUCUUUACAAAGUUUUUAACUGCCAGGUCAUAUUCAGCUUCUCCCUU